AAAGAUAACUCCACUAGGGCUGAAUUGUGCCGGCUUAUUAGUCCCCACUCCAUUUGAAUUUGAAUUUGAUUUAAAAUCCAAAUUCCGGCUGUACAUGAGAAUGUAGAAUCACGUGCCUCAUUCCUCAAUUCCCGCACGCUUCUUUUGUCCCACGCCAAGGCUUCAAUUUAUACUUCAGCUUUUCAUUCCAAAAAAUAAAUAAGUGACACAAGAAUUUUUACUGGUCUUGGGAUCUCUGCUGGUCAUAGAAAAAUUUCUAGCAAUGCAUAAUUAAAAUUUUCAAUGAAU
rnacentral:lncRNA from 1 species